AUUGAACGCUGGCGGCAUGCCUUACACAUGCAAGUCGAACGGCAGCACGGGAGCAAUCCUGGUGGCGAGUGGCGAACGGGUGAGUAAUAUAUCGGAACGUGCCCAAUCGUGGGGGAUAACGUAGCGAAAGCUACGCUAAUACCGCAUACGAUCUAUGGAUGAAAGCGGGGGAUCGCAAGACCUCGCGCGAUUGGAGCGGCCGAUAUCAGAUUAGGUAGUUGGUGGGGUAAAAGCCUACCAAGCCUUCGAUCUGUAGCUGGUCUGAGAGGACGACCAGCCACACUGGAACUGAGACACGGUCCAGACUCCUACGGGAGGCAGCAGUGGGAAUUUUGGACAAUGGGCGCAAGCCUGAUCCAGCAAUGCCGCGUGCAGGAUGAAGGCCUUCGGGUUGUAAACUGCUUUGUACGGAACGAACGGUUCUUUCUAUAAAGAGGGCUAAUGACGGUACCGUAAGAAUAAGACACCGGCUAACUAACGUGCCAGCAGCCGACC
rnacentral:rRNA from 1 species